rnacentral:lncRNA from 1 species
UCAAAUUAAAAUCAUAAUUUUCUCUUUAGGAAGAAACUGAAUACAACAAUCAAUAUAGUAUUUUUAAUUAUUGCUUGUAAUGAUUGUCAUAAUGUUGAUUCGAAUUAUUACCAAAUAAAACAAAAUUUCGAAAAUAUUCUAAAGUGAUUUGUCAUGCAUUAAUAUUAAUUGCUUAUGGGCAUUUUUCCAAGGAAAUCAAAUCCAAUUCAUCACGUGCAGCACCUCUCCCAUUUAAUCACCAUUUUUUUCUUUUCAUUUUAUUCCCGUACACCCGUUUUUUUCCUUUUUAUUCUUUUUCCUUUUUUCUUUUUUUUUUCUUUUCCCUUUUUUCUCUUUUAUUCUUUUUCUUUUUUUUUCUUUUUUUCAAAAUGAAUAUAAAAAAUAAAAUAAAAUAAAAUAAUAAUAAAGAAAGCUAAAUCAAAUACCAAAUAGUAAAAAAAAUUAAAAAAAU